rnacentral:rRNA from 1 species
UACAGAGGGGGCAAGCGUUAUUCGGAAUUAUUGGGCGUAAAGGGCGCGUAGGCGGCUUUGCAAGUGGCGGGUGAAAUCCCUCGGCUUAACCGAGGAACUGCCUGCCAGACUGUGAGGCUUGAGACCGGGAGAGGUGAGUGGAAUUCCCAGUGUAGCGGUGAAAUGCGUAGAGAUCGGCAGGAACACCCAGGGGGAAACCAGCCGACUGGGCAAGUGCUGACGCUGAGGUGCGAGAGCGUGGGGAGCGAACCGG